rnacentral:lncRNA from 1 species
GUUAAAACUACACACUGCGCGAGGACGUGCAAUCCGAAGAAAUUGCGGUUCAGGAGCGCACUACAGAUGAAGCAAGUGAUAAAAGUCCUCACUGCAUGAUGUGGGAAAAAGAUGGAAACACGGAUGCAACACAAACCUGCUGCGAGCGAUUUUUCAGAGAAAACUGCAAGCCGAAAAAUAAAGCAUAUGAAUACUCUCUAAAAAAAUGCCCGGUGCCCACAUAUGAUGAAGAUUCAGAGCUGUAAUGACUCGUGCACGAAUAUAGCAGAGAGGACAAUAAACUUUAUUGAAAACCGG